UACGGAGGAUGCAAGCGUUAUCCGGAAUGAUUGGGCGUAAAGCGUCCGCAGGUGGCGAUGUAAGUCUGCUGUUAAAGAGUGAGGCUCAACCUCAUAAGAGCAGUGGAAACUACAUAGCUAGAGUGCGGUAGGGGCAGAGGGAAUUCCUGGUGUAGCGGUGAAAUGCGUAGAUAUCAGGAGGAACACCGGUGGCGAAGGCGGCUAUCUGGACAGAAACUGACGCUGAGGCGCGAAAGCUAGGGGAGCAAACAGG
rnacentral:rRNA from 1 species